GGGCCCGCACAAGCAGCGGAGCAUGUGGUUUAAUUCGAAGCAACGCGAAGAACCUUACCUAGACUUGACAUCCCUUGCAUAACCCAGAGAUGGCGUGAAGUCCUUCGGUACAAGGUGACAGGUGGUGCA
rnacentral:rRNA from 1 species